rnacentral:rRNA from 1 species
GAUCCUGGCUCAGGAUGAACGCUGGCGGCGUGCUUAACACAUGCAAGUCGAGCGAAGCAAUCUAAGUGAAGUUUUCGGAUGGAUCUUAGAUUGACUGAGCGGCGGACGGGUGAGUAACGCGUGGAUAACCUGCCUCACACGAGGGGGAUAACAGUUAGAAAUGACUGCUAAUACCGCAUAAGCGCACAGUACCGCAUGGUACAGUGUAGAAAACUCCGGUGGU